rnacentral:rRNA from 1 species
UAGAUACCCCGGUACUCCUUUCUGUAAACGAUGAAUGGUAGUCAUUAGUUUAAUUUAAAUAACUAGAGGCGAAGUUAACACAAUAACCAUUCCGCCUUGUGAGUACUACUGCAAAGUAGAAAACAAAAAAAUUAGUCGGUCUCGAAGCAAACGGAGUGAAGCAUGUUAUUUAAUACGAUAAUCCGCGUAAAACCUUACCAGAACUUGCAUACAAACUAUUAAUUUUCUGUCAAAGGAAAAUAUUAGGAGUAUUUUAUCAUUUAAAAUACUUAAGUACAGGUGUUGCAUGGCUGUCUUCAGUUCGUGUUGUUAAACAUUAGGUUAAUUCCACUAACGAACGAAAUCCCUGUUAUUAAUUUAUACUUAAUAACUAAUGAAUCUGAUAGAGAUUCAGCGGGGGCUAAGACAAGUCGUUAUGGCCCUCAUGUUCUGGGCUAUAGACGUGCCACAAAAACUUUUACAAAGUGAUGCAAUACUUCCCAAGAGAAGUGGAGCUAAUCAUUAAAAAAAGUUAUUUAUAUUAAAUAUAAGCCGGAUUGUCUCCUGUAAUUCGGAGGCAUGAAGAAGGAAUUCCGAGUAAUCGUUGAUAAGUAGCGCAACGGUGAAGCUAGUUUCGUGAUGAACUAACUGUCUGUCGCUGGGAAGAAGCUUUUAGUGGAGGAAACUGGAGUAAGAUAAUGUUUUUUUCAUAGUAACUCAUUGCUUUAAGUAAAGUCUUUUUAGUAUUAUGAUAAAACUUAUUGGAUUUAGUUAAUUCAUUGAG